rnacentral:rRNA from 1 species
GACGAACGCUGGCGGCGUGCUUAACACAUGCAAGUCGAACGGAAAGGCCCUGCUUUUGUGGGGUGCUCGAGUGGCGAACGGGUGAGUAACACGUGAGUAACCUGCCCUUGACUUUGGGAUAACUUCAGGAAACUGGGGCUAAUACCGGAUAGGAGCUCCUGCUGCAUGGUGGGGGUUGGAAAGUUUCGGCGGUUGGGGAUGGACUCGCGGCUUAUCAGCUUGUUGGUGGGGUAGUGGCUUACCAAGGCUUUGACGGGUAGCCGGCCUGAGAGGGUGACCGGCCACAUUGGGACUGAGAUACGGCCCAGACUCUUACGGGAGGCAGCAGUGGGGAAUAUUGCACAAUGGGCGGAAGCCUGAUGCAGCAACGCCGCGUGCGGGAUGACGGCCUUCGGGUUGUAAACCGUUUUCGCCUGUGACGAAGCGUGAGUGACGGUAAUGGGUAAAGAAGCACCGGCUAACUACGUG